GCGAGAUUAACUCAGUGGUAGAGUGUUUCCUUGACGUGGAAAAAGCCAUGGGUUCGACCCCCUUAUCUCGCACCA
rnacentral:tRNA from 1 species